rnacentral:misc_RNA from 1 species
GGGACUGAAAGGUGGUACUAAGAAGCAGAAAUACGAUAAAAUCAGUGAGAAAAAGAUGUUAACACCAGUAGAGGUGCUGUGCAAAUCUUAUCCGUCUGAGUUCAUAUCAUACUUCCACUACUGUCGAUCAUUAAGAUUUGAAGAUAAACCUGACUAUUCAUAUUUGAAGAGGCUUUUUAGAGACUUGUUUAUUCGUGAAGGUUAUCAAUUUGACUAUGUAUUUGAUUGGACAAUUUUGAAGUAUCCUCAGAUUGGUGCCAGUUCUAGAGGACGAAAUCCUAGUGGGAAUGCCGGACUAAAUGCUGGGCCAUCUGCAGAAAGGCCAGGAAGGGCAUCAGUGGGGCAAGAUAUUCGGGAUAGAUUUACUGGUGCUGUUGAAGCAUUUUCCAGAAGGAAUACUUCUGCAGCUGGUAGGCAUGGGGAACACUCCAGACAGAGGACUUCAGAGGAUAUUCCUUCAUCCAAAGAUGUGCAAGCUGAUUCAGAGAGAGGCCGUAGCUCGAGAAAUGGAAGCUCUUCUAAAAGAGCUAUCAUGUCAAGCAGCAAACCGACCUCUUCUGCUGAACCAACGGAUAGUCGCUCAAGCAGAUUAGUGUCAAGCACUGGCCGUCUAUCUACCACACAGAGAAUUCAGCAGGGAAUUGAAACAAAACCAUCAUCAUUCUCGCGAAGUUCACUCACAAAGGGCAACCAUGAUAACCCUCUUCGGAGCUUUGAAUUUCUUUCAAUCAGAAAGUAAGAGAAUGCGCAUAUAAAGAGGGAAUUUCCCGAUUGAUUUACGGAGGAUGUCUCCAAGUGCUGUAAAUUAGUUGAUGUGCUGUACCUUCUAUAUGUGACAAUUGAUGCUUAUCCAACUCAUCAUAUUCCUUGUUUUUGUUUCUAGAUUAGACCAUAGUGCACUUAGACUCAUCCAAAGAAAUAUUGAGUAAAGUGCGAGAGUUUUUUUAUUAAUUAUAUAUGGAUAAAUAUAUUGUGCUACGAAAUUGAUGUUGCUGGAGUGCCUA